rnacentral:rRNA from 1 species
UUGGAGGGCAAGUCUGGUGCCAGCAGCCGCGGUAAUUCCAGCUCCAAUAGCGUAUAUUAAAGUUGUUGCAGUUAAAAAGUUCGUAGUUGAAUUUCGGGAUCAAUUUAUCGGUCGUGCCUCUGGUAUGCACUGGUAUUAUUGAUUUCUACCUUCUGACGAACCAUGAUGUCAUUAAUUUGGUGUCAUGGGGAAUCAGGACUGUUACUUUGAAAAAAUUAGAGUGUUUAAAGCAAGCACACGCUUGAAUACAUUAGCAUGGAAUAAUGAAAUAGGACGUUUGACCCUAUUUUGUUGGUUUCUAGGAUCGACGUAAUGAUUAAUAGGGAUAGUUGGGGGCAUUAGUAUUCAAUUGUCAGAGGUGAAAUUCUUGGAUUUAUUGAAGACUAACUACUGCGAAAGCAUUUGCCAAGGAUGUUUUCAUUAAUCAAGAACGAAAGUUAGGGGAUCGAAGACGAUCAGAUACCGUCGUAGUCUUAACCAUAAACUAUGCCGACUAGGGAUCGGAUGAUGUUAAUUUUUAAUGACUCAUUCGGCGCCUUACGGGAAAC